UACAGAGACUGCAAGCGCUAUUCGGAUUCACUGGGCGUAACGGGUGCGCAGGCGGCCGAGUGUGUGAGGCGUGAAAGCCCGGGGCUUAACCCCGGAAUUGCACCUCAAACUACACGGCUAGAGCAUUGGAGAGGGUAGCAGAAUUCAUGGUGUAGCAGUGAAAUGCGUAGAUAUCAUGAGGAAUACCAGAGGCGAAGGCGGCUACCUGGACAAUUGCUGACGCUCAGGCACGAAAGCGUGGGGAGCAAAAGGG
rnacentral:rRNA from 1 species